rnacentral:lncRNA from 1 species
GAAGUUAAAGAACAUGGGUUCUUGGCCCAGCGUUCUCAGUCCACCCCCGCCUCCGCUGUCCGCUCCUCUAGCGACAGCUUCGAACAGGUCCGUCGCGUCGCCCGAGAGAAGGAGAGAGAGAAACAGCUAAAAGCACAGGCCAGGAGAGAGCAGGAGAAACUACGUAGCCUUGACGACGAGGACUCUGUGGACCAGCAGAGGGAGCUGGCGAGACGCCGCGAGCAGGAAAGGAGGAGGAGAGAGAUGGCGGACACCAUUGACAUCAACUUCCAGAGCGACUUGAUGGUCAUCUUUGAAGAGAACCUUUUCUGAGAGAGAGAUUGAGAAAGGAGGAGAGGGAGAGAAAGAGAUAUGAACUCUACCUUAUCCCACCAUGGCUGGGAUUUCACACACAACACCCUCCCUCCCUCUGAUUAGAGACCCCAGACCAGGAUGUGAGCUCCAGAGACUUGAAGGAGACUGAGGUGAGGUACAGUAAUAAGGAGUAGCCCUCCCUCCCUCCCUCUGAUUAGAGACCCCAGACCAGGAUGUGAGCUCCAGAGACUUGAAGGAGACUGAGGUGAGGUACAGUAAUAAGGAGAUGCCCUCCCUCCCUCUGAUUAGAGACCCCAGACCAGGAUGUGAGCUCCAGAGACUUGAAGGAGACUGAG